rnacentral:lncRNA from 10 species
UGUAAGCCCUGUGCAGGGUGUAGAAAUGCUUCUGUGGCUUUAGAGACUUGCUGUUUGGUCUUGCAGUUAUUGAACAAAGUGCUCCCUUUUGGGGGUGGUUGGUUCAAUAUCCUGUAAGUCCUUAGAAUGGAGGCCACAGCCUUGGAAAGCCAGAAUGUAAAGCCUCAUUCUUAUUUUCUCACAUGGUCCCAGGAGAUGACGGCUGGAUGAGCACUCUUCAGAGGGGAGCAGGGAGGCAGCGGUUUAUGCAAGGGAAGGGCAAAUGAUGCAGCAACAGGCGAGAAAUAAAAAUUGCCUGCCUGCCUGCCUGCCUGCCUGCCUGCCUGCCUGCCUUCCUUCCUUCCUUCCUUCCUUCCUUCCUUCCUUCCUUCCUUCCUUCCUACCUCCCUCCCUCUCUCCCUUCCUUCUCUGCUUCCUGUCUUCCUCUUCUCUUUCUUCUUUCCUCUUUCCCUCCUCUCUCUCUCCCUCUGUUUUUCCUUCCAUCCUUCCUCCUACAUUUAAUGAGUAACUGCUAUGAGCUACGAGUGUUAGAUUUGUGAUAUUCAAUAAUAUUAACACUGAUUAACAUUUUUAUGAAAUUCUUUAAAGUUUGGCAUCAACCAUCUUACCUUGGGAUAUAGGAGGAGAAAAGGAGAGCAAAGUCAUGAAGUCAUUCUUAGAGCUCUGGCAUCAAGGUGCUGACCCAUUCUGUGAAGCCCUGGGUUGGUCUUCCUGGGGUGCUUGGCACUAAGCAAAGGGCAGAGGGU